rnacentral:misc_RNA from 1 species
AGACUUUAAUCUAUUUUUCGUAAUAGAGGAAUAAAAUAGUUAAUAAUGUCAAUACACAGAGACAUAAUAAUUUGAAAAACAUUCUUCAGUUCUAAAAUAAAACUCUGUGCCUGUGCAGCAGAAGCAACGCCUGAUAAUAGAACACAGAAAUGCUAAUAUUUUGAUGCCAAUGGAUGGAGGCAUAGGGGCUGUGUACAGCUUCUCUUCUUUUCCCUUCCUUUCUGCUUUGGUAGCAAAUUUGGAAGACAUUGUUCAGUUUUAAAAUAAAACUCUAUGCCCGUGCAGCAGAAGCAACAAAAUGAAAAUAGAGCACAGGAAUGCUAUAUGCUUAUGCAUACGCAGGAGCAACAUAUGCUUAUGCAUAUCUCUCAUAUUCACCAUAGCAUUUAGGGGGGAAGCACUGCAAAUAAUAAACUGACCAAGGACACUGAGACACUGCUAAAUUCUAGGGUUCAACAAUGCCACUUUCCAUAGGAUCCUGCUUUAGAGGGAAGCAGUUGGAUGAGCAUGUAAAGGAUUCAAAACAGUACCACUUCUCAAUGAUGUAAAGAAAGCUCAUCCAAGGGCUAAGAGAAUGUGUGCGCCAUGCAUAUAUUACGGUUACAUUAAAGUUGUUUUUAGCAGCCUUUAGCUUAAACAAUCUGCAAAAUGGCAUACCUGUUUCAAAUGCUCAAACAUUUCCCUUGACCUUGUGUAUCUGACCACAGGAUUUUUUUUGUUUCUUCAGCUUGAUGAUUGGCUUUUGUGUAAAGUCUACCAAGAUUUUGGACCAGAGGACAUAACUUUGGGGAUGGAAAAGAUUAAACACAUUUAGCACAACAGCUGAAGCAUAACAAGGGCUAUUUGUAAAUCAAAGUAUCAAUGAGCAGAUUUGCCCAUUGUUGUGCUUUAAGGUCAUUUUUAUCAUCCUUCAAAGCUACACACAUGGGACAGAAAUUACCAUUUUUACCUAUUUAUAUGAUGUAUCAAAAGUCAAAAUAGUUUGAAACAUAUCCAUUUAUAACAAAGAAGCAAGUGUACUUUAUUGAGGAGCAGAACUUUUCUUCUCUCAUAUCACCAAAUUUUUCUUAGUAUAUAAUAGCAUUCUUUCAAUGCAAGUCACAUUUAAGUAUACCACCACAAUCAGCUGGACAUUAUCCAUCCAUCUCUCAAACUAAUCCCACAAGAAGGAGAGCUAUCAGUUAACAAUGGCCCUCUUCUUCCAGUAGAUUGACUCUCAAUACUUGUGUAUGUAGCAGUAUAUGCUCCAAACAGACUCUCACUUGUAUAUAUUUUCCCCUUCCAUUUUAGGAUAAUGAGCUGCCUAACAAUCAAUCUUUCAAAAAUGGAUUACCCACAUCAAGUUUACAGCCAUCAACUUCUUGCUGUUUUAAUCUUACAUUAAGAUUAGAGAGGUGAUUAACAUAGCUAAAGUGUCAGGUAAAAGAUUUAUGAGAAAUACAACCUUCCCCCUUGUGAACCCAAACAGUCACAAGAAAUAUCACCAUACCCCAGGUAUAAACCUUUAGUCACUUGCAACUAGGAAUUAGAACAGGCAAAUGAUUACCAUCCUAUUUCCUCAAAACAAAAACUCUUAUUUCUUUCUAACAUUUAUAGCAUUCACGAGAAGUACAGGAAAGGAAAUCUUACUGCAAUACUCCACAAAGGUGUCACAUGUGUAGUAUAUAAUAUGCAAUUUGCAACCAUAGAAAAUCAAAGCAUAAUUCUUGGCUAAAGCAUUAAAAGCAAUAAAGAUCAAUGGGUUAGUGCAAACAUAAAAGAAGUUGAAAAGAAAAAAUGAAAAGAAACCAAAUGGGUAAACUUAUAAUGGCAUUUACUGUUUCUUCUAUCACAUCCUUCUUGAAAACAUUGCAGGAAACAUCUGCUAAAUCACAACAAUUUAACAUACAGUUUCAUUCAUUCUUCCAAGCAUACAAUAUAAGUGAGAAACCAAGACCUUGUAAUUGGUAGUCUCUGAAUCGCUGGGAGUAAGAGCAAGUCAAUACAGAGGGUUCAAAAACUGAUUGGCUUGUCCAUAAUUUCUCUGCAGAUAGGCAAGUUUGGAACAUGAAAACUGCAUUGUCCAUAGCAUUACCAAAUAACCAGUUAUGGACAUCCCAAAACACUUCAACUGGAAGCCCGUCCACCAAUAUGGUGCGAUUGCCCGGAACUUCCACUUCAGUCUCUUGACCUGCAUUACCAUCUUACGAUCAAUGUGGAUCACAAGACAUGGGUCCUUAAGAUCAACGGUAUCACAUUCGAUUGUGACAUUGUGCAUCUGCCCCUUAUCACAGAACUGAGCUUUUGCACCAUAGAACUUCUUCCCAAAAAUGUGCUCCUUCUUAGCAAUAAAAAUGGCAUGGGAAUUUACCGAGGCAUUGUCAAUUUUCUUGUAUGCUUCCUUCUUCAUAUCCCCAAGAAGUAACACCAUUUCUUGGUUAAAUGCAAUAGCCAAAUAAAAUCCUUCCGAAGGUUCUCACUUAUGAAAUUAAGAUGAACUAAAGAACCCGUAAUCUAAAGACUCCAAAGUCAGCUUCUUGAUGCUCCAAUUUGAUCUGGGUUUGUGUAGUUUUCGCUGCCCACAGAUGGAGAUGUGCGUGUGAGAGAAGGGGAGGACUUAACAAAGGAGGAAUUAACAAAGACAACAAAGACUAAUAAUUGAGAGAGGGCGAGGGA